UCACAGUGGUUAUGCGCUUUCUCUGGUAUUAGAUGUGACAUGAGCUGUUCAAUCAGCUCUUUGUUUGGCGUGGUCGUCAGCAAACCAACGCAAUUGCCGCAUAUAUGUAGUGGGAUAUGAACUGCUCUUAGUUUCUCUAUGCUCAUUAUUAGUUCAAUAAAUUGGCAAAUGGCUGCUGAUGUAUGAUUGACUGGCUUUGUUCAUCUUGCUAGAGUUACUUGGAAAUAUUGACAUUCUCAAACCAAAUAUGAGGUGCCCUUUAUUCAGUCCAUGGGAGUACAUGUAAGUUGACUGCUUCAAACCCAAUCUGUGCUUGCUGUUUAGUGAAUAAAUAUGCUGGUAGAAAAUUGCAAACUUCGUAAUAUGAAUAAAUAUUUGAUGGUAAGUUGCGAUGAAGAUUAAAAUU